GAUGAAGAACGUAGCGAAAUGCGAUAAGUAAUGUGAAUUGCAGAAUUCAGUGAAUCAUCGAAUCUUUGAACGCACAUUGCGGCCAUAGGUAUUCCUUUGGCCAUGCCUGUUCGAGCGUCAUUUACACCCUCAAGCCUAGCUUGGUGUUGGGCGUCUGUCCCGCCGUUUUCGCGCGCGGACUCGCCUCAAAGUCAUUGGCGGCGGUCGUGCCGGCCCCCUCGCGCAGCACAUUUGCGCUUCUCGGAGGCCCGGCGGAUCCGCGCUCCAGCAAGACCUUUCACGACUUGACCUCGGAUCAGGUAGGGAUACCCGCUGAACUUAAGCAUAUCAAUAAGCGGAGGA
rnacentral:misc_RNA from 1 species